CUGGUCGCGCAUUGAAAGUAGCUCGUCUUGUUGUUCACCUUCCUAAUUUCCGGAUUUCCCUAUGGUCUCCGCGGUAAACGUCACAACGCUUUGAACUGUGGGUAAUUCUCUUAGGUAAAGUCUGCACUGAUGCAGACUCACGGUAAGUGUGGACUCAAACCCUCAUGCCCUUUGGAUUCGACAUUGGGACAGCCUUAAAGCCUUAAUAAUUUCGCGAGAACGCGUAUGAAAGUCCGGACAUUUGGAUUGGGCGCAUCUCUCUCCCGAGUCAUACCUAGCCUGAAACGACGAUGCCACAAAGGAUCAAAUUCGUUUUUCAUCAACUCCAAAGAACUUUACGGAGGGGAAGACUGAACAGCAAUGACAGAAAUUUGUGAAACUCGGCCCACAUUUGUUGCUCAGUGUAUGAUCCGACAACGCUCCAACGCAGCCCCAGCCGGCAGGUCUUUGAUGGUCUCAGACGGAAUCCAACUCAAACUGUGAUCCGAUCAGCCAGAAGGCCCACCUCCCACGGUGGUGGUGAUCCCGUUGUCAUUUCCGAGGGAUGCCGGACUGUUCAAUAUGGAAAGCUGGAGUGAGAGGCGUGCUUGGGAGAAUUUAAAGCGCUUUCCCGCGACUCGCCUCCGAUCCUGCCUGUUCUCUGAUCCCUGCCUUUCUGACCAUCCUGCCUGCCGCCCAGCCCCUGUCGGCCUGUCUGCUCCUCUGCCCCCGACUCCUGAUCCUCCAGCCUGCCUCCCCUGCUUUCGACCCUUCGCCUGCCUGACCUCCCGAUCACCGUAGAGUUAUUGUUGGUCUGUCUGUUCACCUGUUCCCUACUGCCCAUCUGCCCUCCCGUUGCCGACCUCUGCCUGCUGACUACUCUUUGCCUGCCGAUCCUGUAUCUGAAUAAACUCUUGAAACCGUUCUACGCUCGUCGUCAGUCUGUGCACUUGGGUUCUGCCAAACGCCCACGUUACACACAGUUUACAUGGCUGAAGUGGGUCUGCUCUGGGUCAAUAGGGCUCUGAGAUUCAGGAGA
rnacentral:lncRNA from 1 species